GACGAACGCUGGCGGCGUGCUUAACACAUGCAAGUCGAACGGUGAAGCGCCUUCCUUUUUGGUGGGUGUGGAUGAGUGGCGAACGGGUGAGUAACACGUGAGUAACCUGCCCCCUUCUUCUGGAUAACCGCAUGAAAGUGUGGCUAAUACGGGAUAUUCUGGGUCUGUCGCAUGAUGGGUCUGGGAAAGAUAUUGUUUCGGUGGGGGAUGGGCUCGCGGCCUAUCAGCUUGUUGGUGGGGUGAUGGCCUACCAAGGCGGUGACGGGUAGCCGGCCUGAGAGGGUGGACGGUCACACUGGGACUGAGACACGGCCGAGACUCCUACGGGAGGCAGCAGUGGGGAAUAUGGCACAAUGGGCGCAAGCCUGAUGCAGCGACGCCGCGUGAGGGAUGGAGGCCUUCGGGUUGUGAACCUCUUUCGCCAGUGAAGCAGGCCUGCCUCGUUUGUGGGUGGGUUGACGGUAGCUGGAUAAGAAGCGCCGGCUAACUACGUG
rnacentral:rRNA from 1 species